AUACAGGGCUGCCUUCAAAUGUCUUCUAAAAGUCAUAAAUAACUAUAUGACUUUUAGAAGACAUUUGAAGGCAGCCCUGUAU